rnacentral:lncRNA from 1 species
UUUUUUUUUUUUUUUUCCUAAUGUUAACGAUGAUAAUUGAUGGAAUCGAUGAGAUGAGGAUCUAAUUAAUUAAUUAAGCAGCUUAAAGCAAUUACUGAUCAUCACUAAUACGUCCACCAAAUUACCUGGCAAGAUUUGAGAGCACCUUGCAUGCAGCCAUAAGCUCAAAACAGUAGUGAUAUUUUGGUGGACAUAAUAGUGACAGUGUAUGGUUGAUUAAAUUAACCUUCAGAAUUCAAGAAGUGUUUCCAUUAAACAUCCACUUACUUGAGUUUUACUCAAGAAGUGCUCAAACAGAUCAUAAGAGAGUCUAAAUUCUUGAAUCUUAUCAAAUUAUAUAAUUAUUUAAUUAAAUAUUUAAUUUUAAAAAAACUAUUAAAUAAAAAAAAAUUUUUUAUGACUUUAUCCGAAUAGGAAAAGAUCUUAAUGGAGAGUAAAUAUUAUAUUAUAAAAAUAUCACUAAUAAAUAUACUUAUUUUCUAAACUGUAAAAUUUAAUCUUUUUAUUCGUUUUGAUUUAUAAAUACAUAAAUGUCAAAUAAACAUAUUUAAAAUAUGUUUCAUUUAUAAAAUCAAACAAAAUGCCAUUUACAUUUCGACAUGACAAUAUUAAAAAAAAAAGACAAAUAUGUCAUUCAAAUUUUUAUAUUGAGACCCAUUCAAACUUCAGACAAGAGAAUAAAUAAGUCUUCACUAUCAUCAUUUUGAUUUUAAUUCGUGACACAACCAAAUUAUAUAUGAAAUCAAACUAAUGAUAGUAAUACUAUCGACAAAUAAGAAAGAUUGAAGAAUCAAAUUCGUUUACGUAACAUGAGCAACUGAUUUACGGUAGAGACUUGUCAGAGUGUUAUUAAGAUUGCAUGGGCCAGCUGUUUGGGCCAGCCCACAAGAUCUCAUGGUUCCAUUUAUCGUUUGCAUGUUUUAUUAUUUUAUAGACUCCAUUCAAGUUUUGAAAAUUUUAAUCAAUAAAUUUGAUAUUAAAUUUGUUUAUUUAUUUUAAUUGAAGCAUCACACACCCUGACCCGGUUGUUAAGAUAAGAGUGGGUGGGUUAGAUUAAUUGGAGAGAAAACGACAAGUGGGAGAUUGAUGGAGUGGGUGUUUCUUAUUUCUUCUAAUUCUCACCUAAUAGUCCCUAGGAUUAUGAUUUUAUUCUAAUUUAAGAAAAAAUAAUUAAUCAGUCAUAAAAGAAAAAAGAUUGCAGAAAUUUGAUGGGUGCUUUAUUUUUUAAAUUCACAGUACUUUCAAAAACAUAGUUUAUCAAAUACGUUUUGUACAAUUGAUUAUUUUUAUUUCGAAAACAAAUUAUUUUAUAAGUUAAAGGUAUGAGUUCGAACUUGUUGAAUGAGUAUGAGAAAAUUAGGUUAUUAUUAUUAUGGUGCUGAUAAUUACAAAAAAACACAUAUUUUAUAAGUUGCAACAAUUCUUUUAAACUGGCACUUACCAGAUUUUACUGAAAUAGGAUUAAUUGGUAAUAUUAUAACUUUUAAAAUAGUUACCGUCAGCUGUGUUGCAAUAUAAUCAAUCGUGAAGAGUAUUGAUUAAGUGUUUAGUAAAUAUAAUUGUUAAAGUAUUGUUAGAAUACAAAUGACUAAAAUAGAUAUAGUAUCAAGGAAAAUAUACUUCAACACAUAUGCAAACAUGUAUGUUUAAUACUUUUUUUCUCGAAUUAAUUCUUCUUCAUCGUUGUCGUCGUUGUCAUAAUAAUAAUAAUAAUAAAAAAACCUUCUUUCAUCAAAUAACAUUAAAUUUUGUGUAAUCAAAGUUCAAAGAUAUGGUCCUUUGAAAAUGAUAAGAAAGUAUAUUGAUAAAACUCAUCUUAAAUUUUAUCGAAAAUUUGUAAAUAAAAGAUAAGGUAUCAAAACACAUACUAACCUAAGCGGCAAUCUUGCAGUGAUGAUAUUUGAAGUAUUAGAGAAGUUUUGAUGAAAUGGAAAAUAGGAAGAAGAAGAAUUGGGGUAAAGAGCACGGGUAAAGAUAAAAUAAAUCAAAUUAAUGAUAAUGAUCUUAAUUUUUAUUAUUCUAUUUUUUAAAUAAUCAAAGAUAAUUUUGGAUUUAUAUGAAAUAUGUAAGGAUGUAUGUGAAAUUAUAUCAAAUAAAAAUACGUCUCAAAUUUAAGAAGCUACUAUUUUCCUCCUUUUCAAAACUAAUCUAAAAAUGAGGUAAUUUUGUUGAAAUAAUUUAAAAAAUAUAAUAAAUAUUAAAAUUAAUUUUUAUUUUUUUUAAAAAAUAACUAUUGACUCUCCCAACAACAAUCCUAAAUGGACUCCUUACCUAAGGGCUCCGUUUAAUAAAAUUUGAUUCCAUAACCAUUUUAUUGUGAUGGGGUUGGUUGGUAUCAAACUUUUGCUUUAUACUUUUUGUGUUAAAAGUAUUUUAUGUGUCAACAUCACUAUUUUAUUUAUCCGUGAAAUAAAUAGUGGAUAAAUUCAAUAUUUUUUUAUGUAAAACUUUAUAACUCAUAAAAUCAUAUAUUUAUCCCUUCCUAAGAUAUAUAAAAAAAUCCUUUUGCACAAUACUUUAGAAAGUGUAGCAUUACUCGAACUAAAUUUAAGUGUAGUAGCACCAAAACGAAUUUAAUUGGUUGCUUAUAAUAAAUAUAUGUAGUUAAAACAGUCACAGUUUUAACAAAUGUUUUAUCUAAUCAUAAAACUUUCUAUUGUUGUAUUUUUUUAAAUUUUGUUUUCAAAAAAUUAAAUUAAGAAAUAGGCUGCGGAAAAUUUGUGAUGUUUUAAAAUGGUUAAAAGGUAAUUUUACCCAAAAGAAGGAAAAAGGUAAAAGAAAGAGCUCCAAGCAUAAUUGUUUGUAACAAGAAAGAAUCCCAAAUUACUGGUACUGAGAGUAGAAGCAGAGUCCAAAAAAAGAACAGCGACGAUGGAGUUCCCCUUCGGCCACCACCACCGUCGCGAUCCUGAAGAAGAUGAACGACGAGAACGCCCGCCACCUUACUUCGGCCAGCCUCCGCCGCCGCCGCAGCCGUAUUAUCAAGAAAACGAGUAUGCUGCACCCCCCCCACCGCGCCCUGUGCCGCCACCAUACUAUCAAGAACCUGAAUUUUCAUUGCCACCACCUCCGCCCCGGCCGUAUCAUCAAGAAUCACAUGUGAGUCACGUGCAUCACUCCACUGAUCGGCCCGAAGGAUUCGGCUCUUUCAACUAUCAGCAACCACCACCACCAGAGCCAACACACGUGCGCCACGUGUAUCACGCUAGUCAUGAUAAACCAGAAGGACUCGGUUCUUUCAACUACCAGCAAUCGCCGCCGCCGCCACCAGCAGCAGCGUCGGGAGCGGUACAUGUGAGCCAUGUUUCUCAUGAGAAAACUGAGACUGGCCAUCACCAUUCUUUUCUGCAUCAUCACUCUCACUCUGGCUCUGGCCCUGCCCCUUUCCCUGCUCUCUCUGGGAAGCCUACUGUUAGAUUCUUUUGUAAGGCCGAGCCUAAUUUCUCGCUCACCAUUAGAAAUGGGAAGGUGGUUCUUGCUCCAUCUGAUCCCUCCGAUCAGUUUCAGGUGAGUAUUUAUUUUCUAUUUUGUUUACCCGUUUACAGUUGUUGUUGCGCUGCUCUAAGUAUUUAACUUGAUCUGGGUUCUGUUGUUUCCUUUUUGAAAAAGUUAAAGAUUAUUUUUUCCCCCAAGAAAUAUUGAAUAUUGUAGAUGAUUUUAUUAUAUUAUUGCCCACUUGUGUUUUAAUAAUAAUUUCACUUAAAUCUGCCAUUAGUGCUACGGACUUUUUUUUCCCCCUCUGUUUUCAGGGUUUCUUGCCUCUUAGUCUUAUGUGUUUAUUGCUUUGGUUUUUGUUGUUGUUGCAGCACUGGUACAAGGAUGAGAGGCUCAGCACUCGAGUGAAGGAUGAGGAGGGCUUUCCCUGCUUUGCUCUCGUUAACAAAGUUACUGGUCAGGCUGUGAAGCACUCCAUUGGAGCCACUCAUCCUGUAAGGAUUCUAUGAAAUUUUUUGAGUGAUUGGAAGUUUAUUUGAUGUAAAAUUUCAAGCAUUAUGUCUUUCUUUGUUGUUAAUUUCACAUACUGAUAUAAAUCAACAUGUAUUGACUCAAAUGUCGCUGCUGCUGCUAAUUUGGUUUUGUUUGAAAAUUAGCAUGUUCUUCUGAAUCUGUAUUUUAAUAUUAGGAUGCAGCAAUUUGUUGCAUCCAGGCAUAUUGUUUAUGACCUAUGGGCAAUAUCUACUGGCAAAGAAUCCAAACAACUUACAUGACCGAAAUGUAAGAUGUUAGUUCUGGUAUGCCGGUGAAGAGAAGGCUGAAUAAGGGUAACAUUUAGACUAUAAUGGAAGGCUAUCUCUGUGGAAUUCACGCCCACUCAAUGACUUGCUAACGAGUUAAAUUAAACUUUGCAUUUUCGAGCUCAUUUGAGGAACAAGGAUAUUUCCAAUUCAAUACUACAUGUAACUGGAAUAGAUAUGCAUCUUAAUGGCAAAUUUUGCAUGUUGGUUUCACGUUUUAGACAUGGUUACCUUCUUGUCAAUCAGGAUUUUUCCCUUCAUUUAUUUGAUAUUCGAUUUAGUUUCUUUUAAUUAUAUAUAAUGUUAAUAUGCCAACAUAAAACUUUGAUAAUAUGUCUGCAGGUGCAGCUGAUACCUUAUAAUCCAGAUGUUCUGGAUGAGUCUGUACUGUGGACAGAGAGCAAGGACAUAGGGGAUGGUUACAGAGCUGUAAGAAUGGUCAAUAACAUUCGCCUGAAUGUAGAUGCUUUUCAUGGUGAUAAGAAAUCUGGUGGUGUCCAUGAUGGCACCACCAUUGUGCUUUGGGAAUGGAACAAGGGAGAUAACCAGCGAUGGAGGAUUGUCCCCUACUGUAAGUCUUUCAUCAGUCGAAACACGAAGAAAUAUAGAAUUCCUACCAUAUCUUUCUUAUUUUCAGGUUGCAUCAUUUGAUACUUUUAAAACCAAUAAUGGAAUUUCAAUAUAAAUUAGUCUAGGUAUAUGUAGUUUGGGAAGAUGAAGCCUUACUUUCUCUGCUUCGAGUGUCCCAUCAACUCAUAGAACUGUUCUUAAUUCUUUUUUGGUCUUUUGAUGGUUAUAUGUGCAGGAUUGUGGCAUCGGUACUGUCAUCUAUUGUAGCUGUAUUGUAUUGAGCUUGCAGAAGUAUAUGUGAGGACUGAGGAGGAUUGUUUUCCAUUCUCCAUUGAGUGGUUUGUGUUUUGUGUUCAUGAUGAUUUUCAUUGAUACCUGUUGAGGCACACUGCUUAUUCUCGCUGUGGUUCGUGUAUUCUGUCUAUUGAGUGAGCGUCUUGAUGUGUCAUUAAAACUCAAUUAACUACUGUUACUUUCAUUAUUCAUUAUCUAUGGUGUGGAAUUAUAAUGAAUGCGUAUGAUAAGUGAUACCAAUCCACUAAUGGAUUAAGUCCAGGUGUCCCCAUGUCAUUUUCAUGGCCAUCCAUAGCAUGCACUGAAUUCGGGUCAUGAUGACAUGUGUUUUUCUUUUAAAAGCUGUAAUGUCAUUGAUUACGAUAAAUGAUGUGUAUACAGAAAUAUGGGACGUAGUAUUGUCGAAUGACUGUACUACAAGUCUACGAAGAUUUUUUAUCUACAAGUCUACAUAGUUUUUUUAUUCUUCCUUAGCUAGCAAAUGAUUUGGCAAGGUUGUGACUUGUGGGUUCAAGUUGAGAUUUAUAAAAAGAAAAGGUCAGAUGGAAGCUAAAUUUACUCUUGUUGAUUUACAUGAAGCCACUGCAAUCUCUUGGUUCCGGCUCACCUCUUUCUCUCCGGAGAAUAAUCUUGAACUAGUGAAGAUUUCAGAAAUCAAACAUUUCUCUAUAAUAAUCAUCUAGUAGUAGUACUCUUUAAAAAGAAUAAAAAAAAAAAAAACUACAGUGGAUUACAACUGAGGCUAGAGGACUUAAACAAAUACAGACAUGAUGAUGAUGAUGUCAAAAGAUCAAACCAAUCCCACGGCAGCAGCCACCCUCCCUACGACCAGUCACCAUCGUCGUACCAUGAAGACAGUGGGUCCACCCCUCUCAAUAUGGAGGAGGGGCACCAACCCACCCCCAUUCAGUGGGCCAUGGGACUACUCGUCACGGAUACAACUCUAGUAGAGGAUACAGUGUAACUCUACUAGAGCCAUGAUAGCCGCGGAUAUAGUGUAACACCAACGUCGCAUGGGACCCACGAUAGUGGCAAAUACAGUGUAGGACUCAUGAUGUCGCAUGGAACCCAUUGUCGUGGCGGGUACAAUGGAGGACCGACAUUGAAUGGGACACGCGGCGGCAGCGGAUACAACGCAGCACCGAUCGCAUGAGACCCCAUGGUAGCAAUUAUGGAAAUAAUCAACCUAAACACAAUAACACCUCAUCUAAUAAAACCAACUUGUAAGAUCUUUUGCAACAAAGAUCCCUGCUGAUUCAUCGGAUAUGACCCAGUUUGUUUAUUAAUUAAGAAUGACGAUUUUAUUUCACUGCAUCAGUUUUCAUAGCAAGGUCCUGAGUUAAAACGUUACUCUUCAACAGCAUUGGUACAAAGAUCAGAGGUGCAGCACAGAAGUAAAGGAUUCAGAAGGCUGCCCCCGCGUUGCUAUGGUUAACAAAGCUACUAAUUUGGCCAUGAAGCACGGCAAAGGCCCCACAGAACCCGUAAGAUCACUUCAUAGCAUCUCUAAGUGACUUCAACUAAAAAGUCGAAAUUGAAGUAAAUUAAUUCAUUUAAGGAGUUCCAAAUUCGUUUGUGCGUGCAGGUCAGGCUGGAGCCAUAUGAUCCAAGCGAUGAAAAGGAUGUGACAUUACUGUGGACACAGAGCCAGGACUUUGGGGAUGGUUACAGAACAAUAAAGAUGGGACUGAUGGCAGUGGCGGAUACAAUGCACCACCUACAUCGCAUGGAAUCCGCAGUGGAUAUCGCAUGUUAGCCGCGGUCGCGGUGGAUACAGUGCACCACUAGUGUCGCAUGGGACUCACGACAGUGGCAAAUACAGUGGAAAACCAACUUCGCAUGCGGCCUACGACGACUUCUGAUAUAGUGCAGCACCGACGCCUCAUGGGACCCACGAUAGUUGAAAAUACAGUGUAGGACCGAUGUCGCAUGGGACCCAUUGUUGUUGUGGAUACAAAGCAGGACCGACAUUCGAGGGGACACGCGGCGGCAGCGGAUACAAUGCAGCACCGAUGUCGCAUGGGACCCACGGUAGCAGUCGUGGAAAUAAUCAACCUGAGCACAAUGACACCUCAUCUAAUAAACCAACUUGUAAGAUCUUUUGCAAGAAAGAGCCCUGGUUUCUCUCUAGGUGGUAAAGACAAGGCUGUGAUUCUCGUACCUGCUGAUUCAUCAGAUAUGAGUGACCCAGUUUGUUUGCUCAUUAAGAAUUAAGGGCCGUUUUAUUUCACUCCAUCACAUUAAUCUUUAGAGCUCAGGUUACAUAAUUGAAUUAUAACGUUACUCGCCUGCGGCAGUGGUACAAAGAUGAGAGGUAGUACAGCACAAAAAUAAAGGAUUCAGAGUGCUGUCCCUGCUUUGCUCUGGUUAACAAAGCUCCUAAUAUGGCCAUGAAGCACGGCAAAGGCCCCACAGAACCUGUAAGAUCACUUCAUAACUCACAACAUCUCUAAUUGACUUAAUUAAAAAGUCGAAAUUAAAGUAAUUAGUUCAUUUAAGGAGUGCCAAAUUCGCGGGUGCAUGCAGGUGUGGCUGGAGCCGUAUGAUCCAAGUGAUGGAAACUGGAAAGGAUGUGACGUUACUUGUGGACACAAAGCGAGGACUUUGGGGAUUGUUACAGAACAAUAAAGAUGGUGAUUGGUGAAUAAUAUUAAGCUCAAUGCCGAUGCUUUUCAUGGGGACCAACGUAUUGAAGAUGGCACUAAGAUUGUUUUGUGGGAGUGGACCUACCGGCUUUGGAAAAUCAUCAGCCACCUUUAAAGGAUUUUUGGAAAUUUCGUACACAAAAACAAUUCCUUCUUUUUUUUCUUUUUUUUCUUUUGCGCUUGAAACCUUGUAACUUCACAAUUUUGCUUUAAACCUUGUAACUUCUAAAAGUAAUGAAACACUAACACAUCAAAAUAUUUGAAGGUCAGAGGAACUGAGAAACGGGAAGAUAAGCGAAGAAACCAUUUUUUGGAAUCUUGAUUUUUUUUUCAUAUGGUUGUAUAAAUAUAAUAUGCUCACAAUAUAAAAGGCUGAAUCCAAGGCCCAGAAGAGAAAUGAUAUACGGAGUUGUGGACUGGAUGGAACAGUUGAUUUAGAACAGAAAGAGCCUUGGCCCUUUUACAAAUCAGCACCAGCCGGCUACAUGCAAGGACCGGAGCUUUUAACACCCUCCUAAAAUUCUUAUUACACCCAUAAUAGUAAAAUCUCAUAAGUUUGCAAAAAUAAAUAUUUUUAACUAGAAUUUAAAAUGAAAUUUCAUUCAAGUGUUUAAUUGAAUUUCUAUUUAAAAUAAGAAAUGAAUUAAUUUGCCUUUAGUUGUUUAAGUAAUUUCAAUUGAAAAGGGGUUUUAUAAGAAAAUUUUGAAGGGCGUCACUGUUCAACUCAUAUUUAAGUUGAAUUAAAUCUACAUUCAAAUUCAUUUCAAUAAUAAUAAUUAAAAAAAAAUACACACCGAUUUUGACCAAAUGUAAGAUGAUACACAUAAUUUACAUAGAAUUAGAUCGUAAGAUUAAGGUUGUCAAAAGUAAGAACAGAGUCAGGAUUGAAAAAUUGGAGGGUUGAAAGUCAUAAAGGUAUACUUUUAAGCGUCAAAACUGAACAAGUGCGCAUAUAUUUGAGAGCAAAUAUUAUAUUAUUUAAAUUAUUGGGGUUGAAUUAAUACCGAUUUAAAGCAUUAGAGUUUUAGGUAAACAACUAAGAUUUAAAGGUGUAAUCAUAUUAAUUCGUGAUCAAGGUCAUUCAGAAAAGUGUUUUACUGCAUGUAAUUUUAUAUAUUACCGCAUCAUAACGUAUUACAUUUAAGAUGAUGUAUGUAAUGUGCAUGACUUAUUUUGUAGGUUCUAGAAAAACGAAAAUGAACUUAUAAAUUAAGAAAUAAUUCAGUAUAGGCUUUGGAAAUUUUCUUUGACAAGUUAUCAGAAUUUUCGUUUUUUUUUUUUUUGGUUUUUGGGUUGUAAUAAGGACAAAGACACACCUGUCACAUUAAUUGGCCAUUUGGGUUGCUUUCUCUUACUGUUAAGUCUGUUAAUUUAUGGUUAGAGCAGUUAGUUGUAAUAAUUUUAUUGGAUUAUAUAUGUAAUUAAAAAUAAAUUUCAAAGAAAAAAAGAGACAGAGAGAAAUUGGGGAAGGUUAGCCUGGAAAGAGAUCUUGAUUUAAAAACCCCACCAAACAUUAAAGAAAAAGUCAAUGUAAUUGACUUUAAAUGAAUCAAAUCCCAUACUCAUUAAAUUAGUAAUUAAAAAAUGAGAUUAGAAAAGGUUAUCUUAAUCAAGGUGACAUGUGAGUCUGUGACCGCAGCCUCUUACACCUUCUAUUCUGUGUCUCAAUGCCAGCCAACUGUCGCAACCCAUGAAACAAUGCCUUGGUAGUCCAUAAAUUAAAAUCUCUAUGAGUUAGAUUAUUAUACAACAUCAUACAAUACACUACUAUAAUUUUCUUUUCUUUUUCUUAUAUAUAUUCUAAUUAUUUAGAAAUUAUAAUACUACAAUGUAAUAUCUAACUUCAAGAUUUGAAUUUGAGUGACCAAUUAAAUAAAACUACUCAAAAUGUACUCUGUCAAACGCUCUAGGGACAAGUAACUAUGAUAACACGACCACUAAUUUUUUAUUAUUUAUGUAACAUUUUGUUAUAAUCUAUGAUACAAUUCAAUUUCGUAGAACUUUCUAUUGUACAAUUCUCAAUUUUUUCGGUUAAAAUAUAAACCUUUUCGCAGUUUAUGGAGGCGCACGGAUGUAACGAUGCAGCUGCAACUGCACCAUAGCACAGCCCGGGUUGUAUUUGGAAGAAAGUAUGAAUUUGCAUUUUUUAAUUUAAGGAAGGAGAGAUUAAGAUUUAAGUUUUGCCAAUGAAGGAAAAAAAGAAAGGGGUUUUAAAUAGGUUCAAAAGAUAGCCAAUGAUGGCGAUACUCUGAAAUUUGGGAUUAUAAUAUUUUCCAAAUUGCCAUGAAUUAUGGGUAAAGUUUUGAUAUGACAUCAUGGUGUGUUGAUCUUAUCUUAUGGCUCAAAUUGAGAGGGAGAUUCGAUCACUUUGUAGUUCCAGCCCCACUAAAUUAAAAACUAAGAAAAGAACCAUCAUUUUUUUGUCUGAUUACCACUUUUAAAAUUUAUUUCAAAUUAAUCGGUACCCUUUCGAAAGGCCAUUUAUUGAAAAACUAUUAUAUUAUUUCAUUCUCAAAUUUGCACUUUAAUUUGACUAAUCAAUUAAUUGGCUAGAUUAUUAACGUGGGAUCCUACAAGUUACAACUUCAUAGCCUCUUAACAAGUUGUAACGUAAAUAAAGGUUUGAGAUAUAUCGACUAAUUGCAAAAUAAUGCAAUGAUUGUUAUCUCAUAAAAUUAAAAUAUGCCGUCAAUAGCCCCCUCCUACACUCUUGCAUGUAUUGAUUUGUAUUCAAUAAGAAUCUCAUGGGCUAAUAUUCAAGUAUAGUCUCAAAUAAUUGCUUAUGUAAUUGAUGUGAAUGUAGUGUCAAUUUAACAAGAAAAGGAAAUGAGAAAUAAAAAAUAAUCACGAUACUAUCCCUUUAUGAAGAUUAGUAUGAGGAAACUAAAUUAAAUCAUUCUAAUCAAUAAUUUAACUUAAAUUGAUUGAUUUUGUUUGAUUUCAAUUAUUACGACAAUUGGGACGAGUUUCGUUUAAACUUAAAUACUAGCCUAGUUGAUCUAGUUGAAUAAAUUGAGAUAUUGUUAUUCAUGAAGUCAAUCUACAUAAAAUCGGCUUAAAAUUUUAGUUGAUAUCUAAUUAUCUAUUUUUUUAAAUAAAAAAAAAGUAAAAAUAAUUCGAAUUCAUUUAAUUUUGCAAAAGGUCCAAAAUCAUUCAUUAUUAAGGUGGAUUUUGCUUGUAAGUCCCUGGGAAAUAUUCUAAAAAAUAUACCGGAAAUUAAGGAGGUGAUCGCCUGCAUCGCGCACACAAAUUAAGCAAGUAGGUAGACCAAUAAAAGUAGAGCAUCAGCAGAAGCCGUGAUGAGGUGUCCCCUAUCGUCACCAGCCGUCAGCCAGCAAUAUGCUUCGCUCUGCUUUGCUUGGCAGUUUCGUUUCAAAAAUAUUGGCCAGAAAGUCAACAGUUAUUAAGUUAAGAAUUAGGAAGAUGAAGAAGAAGAAGAAGAAGCGGACGGGGAAGAAGAAGUGUUGCCCCAGCUGAAGCAUUCCAAUUUCGAUUCCCCCACCCGGGCACCCAAGUGGGGUCCACGCGUUAUUCCGCAUUAAUAAAAUUAUUACUUAUUAUUAUAAUAAUAAUUUUUUUUUUUUGGCCUUUUUAGGCAGAUGUAUUUUUUAAACCCCGUAUAUUACGUUCAAUUUCUACACUCUUCAAUAAAAUAAGAGGAGUGAAAAUGGUGAGGCGGAAGGAUCAGCCGCGGUGAUGUUGACACGUAGAAUGAGCUGAGCCGAAAAGCAAGAUCUGAGUCAGCACAGCGGCGCCUGACAUGGCAACACGUGGGGCGGGGACCACCUCACAACAUCUGACUUGAUUUUUGAUUAGUUUAGGUGACGAUCUGUUGUUGAUUCGGGGGGGAAGGCGUGUUUACAAAUUUAUUUUUAGGCGCAGCUCUGUGGGCAAAAGCCCAUUAGACCAGAGAGGCAGGGAGUUAGUAAACACUGAACGAAGAUUUUCUUCGAGUCGGCGCCGGAAUGUUUUAACUUUAUGCAACUGCCUCCGCGUUAGUUUGGUUUUGUCCGUCAUUCACUUGGAAACAUGCAACAUUUUUUUUUUUUUUUUGACCGGUUUGGCCACCAUACAUGCUUCCUCUAGUUAGCUGUUCUAUAUAUACUGCUUUCUGCAUAUGAAAACGAAUCUGAGUCUCCACUAAUUGUGUUGUAUAUAACAGUCACAUGAGUUAAAUAAAAUCAUCCAAGUGGAUACAUAAGCUGGACACCAUUUCAUUGACUAAGUUUUAAUCCCCUACCUCCCUUAAAUUUUGACUCAGUUGGUCAGAUCUAACCCCAUAUUGUUAUUCAUAAGGAUUUUAGCUAGUGGUGUAAUAUACAAAGCACUAAAAAGUAGUCAAAUUUCCAUGAUAAAUAUAUUUAUUUCAAUUUAUGAUACCCAUUCAAAUAUUUAGACAGAAAAAUAAGUUAGAUCUAUUUUUGAAUAUUUAGCAAGAAGAAAUUGACUUGCAUAAUGCAUAAGUGAAUAAUAAUACACUAGUGAAAAGGAAUAUGAUUUACGACUAAAAAAAUCGAGUAUAAACACGGCGAUAUAAAUGUUAUGAAAUCUAUCAUUUGAUCAGGAGACCUAACACGUCUGAUUGCUAAUUUAAUGCAACUGAAUUUUCAUAUUUGCAUCAUAAUCAAUCGCUCUUGGAGGUGCAUCUAGGAAUUAGAAUUUGCAGAGUGAUUUGGUUUGAACUUUGAAGACAACAAACUUCAGAGGGGUUUUAACAUAUUAAAUAAAAGAAACUAAAAAAAAAAAAAAAAGACACUUGAAAAUUUCUAACAAAGGGAAGAUACCAUAAUUAAAAAAAAAAAAAAAAUCAAGAGAGAGAGAGAGAGAGAAAAUUUAUACUAUUUAUUGCACACUUUAAUUAUUUUAUAUUGGACAAUAAAAUGGUUGCUUGAAAAAAUCAAAUUCAAAGCACCUGCCAAUUGCACAUGCAAAAUAUUUCCAACCCAUCAUAAAAAACACUAAUUGCUCUCCGUCACAUGUAUUUAUUUGGCAAAUAAAAGUAGUUAAAAAGGAGACCGUCUUACAAAUCGAUGUAAACAAUGCGCCAAAUUUUACCUCAAAUAUUCACUUUUUUUGUUUUCUACUUUUUCAAUGAUAUGGGACGAACGAACAGAAUAUCGGAUCUUUUUUUUUUCUUUUUUCUUUUUUUCAAAAGUGAAGACCUGAAUGUGCAAUAAAACGAGUGAGCUAGCUGGCAAAUUUUUUUUUUUGCCUAAAACUUAAUUUGGAAAAAUUCACUUGGUUUUUUUUUUAUUUCUCUCCACCCUUUUUUUCAUUGCCUUUUGACUUUUUGGGGGCUUCUAACAGUUUCCUAUAAAAUUCCGUUCAUUUGUAGCGUCUACUUUGCAUUUGCCUAGAAUUAUCCCCAUUAUCUAAUUCAAAUUCCAAUUGCAUACCGAGUCAUGUGCCUAUAGUAUAAUGGUGCGUGCAUACAUAUUUUAUUUUAUUUUUAUUAAUAGUAAUUGUAACCACUGAGUAUGCAUAAUUAUAAAUGAAGUAGCUAGCUGCCCUGGCCGAACUAAUAGAAUUCCAAAUUGACCAAAUUCAUCUUUGGAUUACUGAAAUCCAUGUAGCACAGUGUCAACUUAAAAAAAAAAAAGAAAAAAGAAAAAAGAAAAAAACAAAACAAACAAGAGGCUUUGAAUGAGAAGUUUUUAUAAAACUAAUAAAAUAAAAAUAUACGACAAAAAUAGUAAAUUCGAGGCACAUGAUGAAUAACCAUUCAACAAUGAUUGUGCGAAAAAUGAACUAUUAUUAAUCAAAUCUUAACGAGUUAGUAAAGUUAAACGCCUCUUGAUUAAAAUAAAAAGAAAUGGUUAAAAUGAAGAUUAAUUACAGGAAGAUGGAAUCAUAGAACAUGCAAUGAAAUUGAUUUUUUUUAAAAAAAAAGGUUAGGUUUAUAAGCCGAUAAAUUAAAAGUCAUUACUUUAAUGUGAAAAGAGUAUGAAAACAUGGGUCCACAAAGCCAGCAUAGAAACUUUUCUUUUUACCAUAAUUUAAUUUUAUAUUUUUUUGGCCCUUUCUUUAUCUCACACGUUCAUUUUCAAACAGGUAGAUAGGAUAUAGCUAAGGAGCCCCACACCAAUUAUAAAAACCAUACAAUAAAAUAAAAAUUUAAUUAAUAAUUGAAGGAAAGUCUCUGUCCUAUGGCGCUAUAAUUUCUUUCUCUCUCUCUCUUCCCUCUGAAGGCUUCCCUCAGAAGUGCCUUGCAGCCUACGGAUCUUCAAUAAGCAAAAAUUAAAACGAGCUUAGUUCUUCUACAAUAAGCUCCUCUAUUUAAGCCCUCUUUUUCCCCCUUGCUAUACUUUCUUUUAACUGCUUUCUCUUAUCUCCUUCUUCUUGUUCUUUUAAUAUUUUGAGCUCUUGUGUGAAUACAUAUUACAAGGGCUUUGCUAGUUUGCUACUGCUAACCAGCUUUCCUAGUCUUAGCUUAUUAAUUGUUUCUCCUUCAUCUGUCCUGUGCGGGGGUUUAUAAUUAUUUUAGUUUCAAGAAAUGGAGGAAGCCGUAGUUGAUCAACACAAUCAUCGUCAAGGAGUGAUAGAUUUGCCACCCGGGUUUCGCUUCCACCCAACGGACGAAGAGAUCAUAACUCAUUAUCUCACGGAAAAGGUCAUGAACACAAGCUUCUCUGCAUGCGCUAUCGGUGAAGUUGAUUUGAACAAGUCUGAGCCAUGGGAUUUGCCCAGUAAGCUAGCUAUGGCUACCCCUUUUUCUUUCUUGCUUUCUUUUCUAUAAAAUCUAUUUUCUUGUUUUCUUAUGAGGUAAAUUCUAUUGCUGAAUAUAUAUAUAUAUAUAUAUAUAUGUAUGUGUGUGUGUGUGUGUAUAUGUAGGUAAAGCGAAGAUGGGGGAGAAGGAAUUUUAUUUCUUUUGUCAGAGAGACCGGAAGUAUCCAACGGGUAUGAGAACAAACCGAGCAACGGAGGCCGGAUACUGGAAGGCGACCGGCAAAGAUAAAGAGAUUUACAAAGGAAAUAAAGGCGGCGUCGGUGGUGGCGGCCUUGUUGGUAUGAAGAAGACUCUUGUUUUUUACAAAGGAAGAGCUCCUAAAGGUGAAAAAACCAAUUGGGUCAUGCACGAAUAUAGACUUGAAGGCAAAUUCUCUUACUACAAUCUCCCCAAGGCUGCUAAGGUAAUUACUUAUUUCUUUGAUUACUAUUAUUACUAUUAAACUUUUCAACAUCUUUUUACUUCUUCUUCUUUUUUUCUUGAUUUUCUUUUUUCUACCUUUUCCGUCGGUUGAGAUUGAUCUUUCAUGGGGCCUCUUUUUGUGUUAAGGAAUAUAUGUGUAUUUCUUUUUCUUUCUAAUUUUUUUUUUCCGGUUUGUUUUACAGGAUGAAUGGGUGGUUUGUAGGGUUUUUCACAAGAACAUUGGAGGAGGAAUUAAAAAGAUUCCAAUUCCAGGGCUGCCAAUGAACUCAUCUUUUGGUGAUGACUUUUUUGCUAAUUAUGCUUCGCUUCCACCACUAAUGGAUCCUCCUGGUUCUUCGAGCUUUGGAAAUGGUGACCAUCAAAAUGAGUUCAAACCCAUGAACACAGCAUCCACUUCAUCAAGAUCUUACAAUAUCCCCGCAGACAAUCAAAAUUUCCUUCAGCCUCAUCAAAUUCCAAUCCAAAAUCAAAUCUUCUCCUAUCACCAAAACAAUAAUAACCCGAAUCCAGGCUACUUGCACCAGGGAACAAUACGGAGUAGCACGGGUGCAAUCUCGAGCUUGAUGGGUGCCGGCUUUGAGGGAAAUGGUGAUGGUCAGGCCAUUUUAAGAGCGUUAGCAAGCACAUCUCACCAUCAUCAGCAGCAUAAUUUGGAGAGCAGCAGCCAGUGCAAAGUUGAGCAGUUUUCAUCUAACCAAUCCAUGAUCAGCCGCUCACAAGACACCGGCCUCAGCACUGACAUGAACACUACUACCGAAAUUUCAUCUGUUGUUUCGAAGCAAGAUAACAAGUCUUAUGAUCAGGAUCUCGAUGCUACAUCUAUUGCUGAAUUGGAUAGCUUUUGGGACUACUGAUGAUACUUGAAAAUUAAUUUAAGUUUGCAGCAGCUCUCCUGUUUUUUCGUAAAUUUUUAGGAUGUAUGGUUUCAAUUAAGUUAGCUAGCUAGCUAAUUGAUGAUCACAAUUUAUGUGCUAUAGUUUGGAUUCUGAACUUAAUACCUGUAAAGAGAUUAUUCAUGCAUGGUGUCAAGAAAUUUGCAGAUUGCAAUUUGAUUGAUUAAUUACUUAGUAGAUACAUAUAUGUAUACACCACUCACUGUACAUCUGUUAGUUCUUCUUCUUCUUCUUCUUUUUAAUAAUAUAUUACUGCUAAUUUCUUCUUUUUCUUUUGUUUAAUUUCUUUAUUGCUAUUUUUUCAUGCAAUUUGCUUUAUUACCAUUUCGUCAGUAAGUUAGCUAUACUAUCAACUUCAUGAUUUUGAAACAUAUAAUUAUUUAUCAAAAGUGUGAAAAGAUAUAUGGGAUAAGGGGAAAAAAAAAAGAAAAUCAUAUUGUAUACAUAAACCGUUUCUUGUACUCCUCUCUUGUUCAAGAGGAAUUAAUUAUCGAAAAUAAAAUUGGUAUUAAAGAAAAGUGGAUUGUACACUCGAAUGAGUUAACCUCCUUAGUUGAGAUUAAUUAACUAUUGGAUCAUGAAUCAUGUGCGUCAUUCCCUGAAUCCAUGGAGAAGAUGCGUUGCGUUCUCUCUUUGAGAAUUAAUUCAAAGUAUUUUAGACAAAGUGACAAUAACAGGGACAUAGCUAGCUAGCUAGCCAGGUUUCUUGAACAAGGCUUAAUUUUCUGUCCGGAAGAAACUUAAUUAGUUAUAUUCACAUGUGCCUAAGCUUUAGCCAUAUUCAAGUACAUGUUUCUAGAUAUAUGUUUAAUUCGUACAGAAGAAGCUGCUGCCACAAUUAAUGAACUCGGAUCUAGCUAUAUGCCAAAGAAGUCACAAAAUAGGAAUUCAUAUAUAUGUUAAGCCAUGGUUGAAGCUGGCUUGUAUCAGCAAGGAGUCUCUUUCGUUGCAGAAGCCGAGAAUGAUUUUCAGAACCCAGAUAGAAUGAUUUGGAUAUCAAUUGUAAAUCAAACAAAAGGGUAAAGGGUUUGAACAACAAACAACUGUGGGCAAAGUUCUUAUCAUGAUAACAAACAUCAUUGUUUAGAGAUGAGAUUGGUGAUAAUAGAAAGUUGGCGGGUCCAUAUCAGUCUAUCCAUGGUGGCUGUUGAUGAAUUUGAAUAAUGAGGUUAAUUUUAAGGCAACAGGAAAAAGAAAAAAGAAAAAACCAAUAAAGCUGAUAACAGAAAACAGCAAAAUAGGUGCAAGUUGAAGGGAAAAGCAGACGCCGCUGAGUUAAUGGAAUCGGUUAUUGUAAUUGUAAGAGAAGAAAUGGAUGGAAAUUGAAUUAUUCUUUUGAUUGAUUGAUAGAUCAUGUGAAUAUGUGGUGUGUGUGUUUGGCAGUAAAUUUAUGAACUUUCUAUUCAAAGCAAAGCUUCCUCUUUUUUUUUUCAGACUUGCAGGAAAGCCAACCGCCUUUUGUGGGCAUACCCUUUUGGCUCCAUGUUUUGUUGCAGCAAGGAAUAUGUUGCAACAAGAUACUGAUGAUAAUUAAUUAAUUAAUUAAUUAAUUAAUUAAACCAGACUUAAAUAUAUAAUUUUUAAAAUGACAACCAGCUGAGAAAACAAAGCACGAGCAUAUAUAUUCUUCCUAAUCUAAUUUCCCUGAUUUGUUGCAUGAAAACAUGGCGGCAGCAGCCAAUAGACAGCCUCCACCGCUUUGAUUAUUAUCGUUUUUUGGUUUUGCGUUUUCUGCCGCGUACGAAAACAAUGCUUCAUUCGCUGCUGCUGCUGUGCUGCCGCUGUGUUUUCAUCACCUCACUGUCAUUACAAAUUUAGACAAAAUUUUACAAAUCCGCGUUUAAUUAAUUACACGCAUAUUACUUCCUCACCGCGUUCGCCGACUACUUGUCCCAUCCACAAUUCCACUCAAUCAUUAUUAUAUUCCUCUGCAUGUGUCAGUCGGGUUUUUACUUUUCGUUUCCAUUAACUUUUAUUCAUUAAUUCCCUUUGCUUCUGGUAAUGUUUGUAAAUUACUGCCUGCCUAGUUUUUUUUUUCUUUUUUUCUUUCUUUCUUUUUUAAUGCAAAUAUUUUAUUAAUUCUUCAGGAUAAAGUUAUGAUACAACAAUGAUGUUUAUUAUUCUAUUUGAUUCCUUACAAAAAAAGUUACAAAAAAAUGUUCCUUGUCCUCUCGUCAACCUAGCUAUUUAACAUUCAUGAUUAUGUAUUAGGGUACACCAGUUGGAAUUAAAACUUAAUAUUGAGUUAAGCGUUUGUCGAGUACUGAAUUAAUGGUUGGAAUUAUUCUAAAUUUUUAUUUUUUUUAUUUAUCUUUUCUAGCAAUCAUUUCUUCAGUACUCAAUAAAAACUCCACUCAAUACUGAAUCCUUAUUCAUAGUAGUUGACCGAGGGUUAAUUAGACAAGAAAUAGAUUAGCUCAUUUUUAUUUUUUAUUACUAUUUUUAGCUUUAUGAAUUUCCCAACAUAUUUUUUUUUUACUUUAUAUUUAAAAGAUAAGCUUUAGAAAAUUGAAUACUUAUCAUAAAAAGUAGUUGUGACUACAAUAUACCCUAGUUACCGCACUGAAGGAGUACCUUUAAAUGAUCAGUUUUUAUUGAUUUCUAUUAAUUUUCUGAUCAUUUGACAAUGCAUAGACAAUAGAGAAGCGGGUUAUUUGGUUGAACGUUGAUAAAAUAAAAAAAACUACCUCCCAUUCAUUCCAAUAAAUACAAAAUUAAUUGAUUCCUAUAAUUUUUUCCCAAAAAAAUUCAUAUGUAUUUAACUUUGAACACUAGGUAUAUCAAAUUAAAGGUUUUAUUUGGAGCUGGAAAACAAAUUUAUCGGCUAUCGAUUGUCUUCGUUAGAUCCAAUUAUCGAAGGUUAGUUAUAUAUAUAAAUAUAUAUACAUCUCUUUUAUUAUAUAUUUCUUUAGUAGGAUUAUUAGUCUUCAAAAAAUUAAUCUUUAAAACUUACUCUUCUGAGUCAUUUAAUCUAGCUAGACACGCAACUUUGAAGAAAAAAACUGCUAAAAAUAUUUAAAAAAGGAAAAUUGAUCAACUCUUCAAAUAAAGAGUUAAAUAAUCAAUGUAUUAAAAACCACGAUUAUUUAUUUAUUUAUCUUUUUAGUCAUUUUUUGUUUUUAAAAAAUCAUAUUCUUAAUUUUUACAAUUGUUCUUUUAAUCUAGACAAGCUCUCGAGAAAAAUUUGUACUGGUUUCAUUGUUCCAAUACUCACAUUUGUUUUUUUAAGAAAAAUUGUAAUAUAAAAGAGAACGUGAAAAUCAAUUUAAAAAACUAUACAUUUUUAAUUAUUAUAAUUUGAUAUCACUAGAAAAGUUGUAUGAUAUGUGCAUGAAUCAUGACCCACAAACAUGUUAUUAUUCAUUGUAUAAUAAACACAUAUUAAUCAUUCUCAUACCAAAUUAAGUUGCUAUCAAGAAUGAGUCCUUCACUGCAAAUUAAUCAUGAGAAAUUUUACAAAACAAUGACCUCUAAUCUAAAUUAAAUCUUUAACCCAGCUAACCAUAUUAUUAUUAUUUAACGCUAAAAUAAAAAUAAAAAUAAAAAUUUUAUUUUAUUUUUUACUUUUUAAGUUAUUUUGGUAGCUUUAAUUUUUUUUAGAUAAUUAUUAGCAAGACACCAAGGCAUUAAAUAGCUUUAAAUUAGCUAGUACUAAUUUAUUUAUAAAUAAUUAUUAGAAAGAAUGUUGUAACGGCAUGAAAAAAUAAUCAUGGUUUUUAGAUUGAUAAUUAUUGAUCAAUUUGCUUAUUAAUUUUAUUGUAAUGAUAAAAGAAAAAUAAGGGCGAAAUUGUCAUAUAUUUAAUAGUGUGAGUGUUUUGAGGUAUUUUUUUUUUUAAAUAUAGAGACUAAACAGAUACUUAACUCAAAAUAUAGGGUUAGAAUAUUAGAUUAUAUUUGCAUAUAAUAUAACAACAGACCCAUGAGUUGUCACCCAUAACAAUUCAAUUAUUUCACAAACUGUAAUUUGUAGUCUUUUUGUGACAAUUCAAGGGUUGUUGUAUACCAUGACCUAUAAUAAUAAUAAUACCAACAAAAAAAGAAGAAGAAGAAAAUCAUACCGUAAUUAUUGAUAUUUCCCACUUAAUAAUAAUAUUCCUUCUUCUAGAUGUUGUAUGAUAUGUCUCGAGCUACGCCAUACAAUAGUUUAUGCAUACUUUGAAGACUAGACUAGAAAUUUUCUAAGUAAAUGGGAAACUUCUUAGAAGUUUACAAGAUUGGUCAUUUUUCUCUUUUAACCUUUUUCAUAAUUGUGAUCAGCGGCUACAAUGAUUUGAAUUAUUUUUUAGAUAUGCAUACAUAUUUCUGCACAGUGUGCAUUAAAUAAAAGGGCAAUGCUUUAUGACUUUUCGACAAGAAUAUUAACUGUUUCCUUUCUUUUUUUUUCAAAAGUUCAUUUGGAUAGAAUCUAAUUAAAAGUUAGGAUUUGCAUGUGUCCUCUUGCUGAAAUGUACAUGCAUGACCGUUUUUAUUUAUUUAUUUAUUUAUUAAUAAAUUUCACAUUUAAUUCUUUUUUAAAGUAACAACCUUUUUAUUUUAGCUUUUCAUUUAAUCGAUCGAUCAGGUACGAUUACGUUAACAUCAAUUAAUUAAGAUAUACUUAUUGAGUAUUUAAUAGUUGAGGAGACUUAAUAUGUUUAUUAGAUGAUAAUUUUAUGCAAAUUCAACAGAAGCUCUUAAAUUACUUAUUUGAUGUUUCGUUCGUUCAAUAAAUGAAUAUCACGCUACUUAAAAAUGGAAUCACUUAUAUUACAAGAGAACGAUUAAAACCAUCAUGUUACGUUACUUCAACAAAUAUAUCAUUUCUAUCGCUCUAUGUUUUCAAAAUCGCUUUUCUAAAAACUAAUAUUAAAAUUUCUGUUUGUCUUUUACUAUUCACCACUAUAAAUUUUUUCUUAGUGAAUAGUAGAUUUUACCACAUCAAGAUAAACUAGUAAAUGAUUAUACAAUAAAAAAAGGGGGUUAAAAAUAACAUUUUCUAACGGUAAAGGAGUAUAAAUUUCGAAAAAUAACAAUUACAUGGAGCGUUGAUAAAUUUUUCCCUUAGAAUAUUUACUUCAAAAGUGUAGCACUAUUUUAAGAUUAAAUAUUUAAAUAUUAUAGUAAACCACUCACUAGAUGAGUGGUGGGCACUACCUUCAAUAUUGUAUACAUAGCAUUUUAAGAUAAUUCAAAUUUUAGGACUCGACUCUUCACGAUUUCAUUAAUGCCUUCUUUAUGAUUUGAACUGGUCUUUUAACUACUUUUAACCACUUAUUUUGAAACUUCCAACACUUUUAUUUUGGCCCAUUUUCUAAAUUGAAGUUGAUGUCAUUCACAAACGAUCGUGUACAUUUACUUAUCUCGAUUCUCUCUAGAUAUUUAUCAAGAAUAUUAGUGUUUCUUUUUUUUUCUUUUUAAACAGAUCAAGAUUAUUAGAUUAAAAUGAGAAGAAUUUUGUAAUUAGUUUAAUUAUGAAUUUGGACUCAGUGCUAAACUGAUUUUUUUACUAAUUUUUUUUAAAAAUACAAUUGAUAGUUACUGAAUAAAAGUAUAAAAAAAUCAAUUAAAUUUUAACCUAUAUUACAACACAUAUACGUAUAUGGUAGAAUAGUAUGCCUUAUUUAUUUAUUUUGUUAUUGUUUGCACAUUGCGCUUUCCUUUUUCCAACAAAUUGAGCCCGUGUCACAUGUUCCCUUUUUGCUAGAUUCAAGUUAAAAGUUAAAACCUUGUGGAAAAAAAAAAGGGGCUAAAAAUUAAAGCGACACAAUAGCUUUAAAUUGAAAAGAAAAUAAAAGAGACCAUUAUAUAACAAGUGGAUUGUUUUUUUAUUUUUUUUAUUUUCAAGAGUAUAACAUUGUUUUGACACAUAUAUAUCUCAUUCUUUAAAAGAUAUUCACUGACAUGACAAAUGCGUUCGAUAUUGUUUUCAAAUCCCAUCUUCUAUUUUUUGAAUUCAGGAAACAUCAAAUAUGUGUUCAAUAGAUUGUUUUUUAAAAUAUAAAAUUCAUUCUAUACUUUUAACAAAUAAAACAAGAAAACAACUUUUUCUUGUUUUCUUUGUUUCUUAAUACAAUAUUAUGUUUCAAAAUGAACAAGUUUCUUCUAUCAUCUCUGAAAAUGAUAAUAAUAUUAACAAUAACAACAACAACAACAACAUUAUUAUUAUUAUUAUUAUUAUUUUUUUUAUAAUACCCAAAAAAUCAAUUUCUCUCACAAUAAUCUUUUCUUGUUAUAAACAUACAUUAUCAUAGUUAUGUUUUUAUAUAUUAAUUAAAUCAAAUAUGUAGAGUAUAUCAUUUUUCUUUUAAAAAAUUAACAAGAUCACCUAAUUUAUUCUUAUAAUUAAAUUAAUAAAGUAAUUAAAUAAUAAAAUGAUUAUAUAUUACUUAAUAUUAAAUUUAUGAAAAUUAUUUCAAUAAUAAUUCUUUAAAAUAUUUUUACUAACUUUGUUUUACUUUUAUUCAUUGUCAACAGCAGUAUUCUUAUAAUUAAAUUAAUAAAGUAAUUAAAUAAUAAAAUGAUUAUAUAUUACUUAAUAUUAAAUUUAUGAAAAUUAUUUCAAUAAUAAUUCUUUAAAAUAUUUUUACUAACUUUGUUUUACUUUUAUUCAUUGUCAAGAUUAUUUUUGAAAAUGAUACUGAAUAUAUUGUUAAAUUUUAAAAAUUGUUUUAAAAAUUAUAUUUUCAUUCUCAUUUUUAUUUCAUGAAAAAAAUAAUUACAAAAUAAUACCGAACAGACCUGUCACUUCCAUGUUUUUGUACCAAUUAUAUUCUCAAGCCAUAUUAAAAAUUUUUUUAUUAAAAAUUAUUUCUAAAAAGAGACUCAUUAUUAACAACAGCAAUAACAACAACAACUCUUUAGUCGAAUUAGUCCAAUGCAUUGACACUGUAUUUUUGAAGUAAAAUAUUCAAGUAUUUUUACAAUUAUAAAAUAUUUUAACUUUAGUAUGUUUUAGAUUUUAGUCAAAAGGAAUUGCCGUAAAUAGUUUACGACGGUUUUGGUAAUUGUUUUUUCCAAGGGCCUGGCCGUACUGAAUCGCAGCCAGCAGCGGCAGUUUUGUUUGUUGGCACGAACAACGAAGCUUCUUCAAUUUUCCUUCCUCGCCCCACAUUUACGAUGCAAGCAAACGACCUGUCGUUGUCGGAUUUGCGUCGUCCCCCGUCAUCUUAUUCCAUAUCCCUUUGAUGACCGCCACGUUGUCACUAACUCACACGCCAAGAUGGUGACGUGGCGGGUCCCGCUUUAUCUUUUCCCUGAAUUUGACGUGGCAUGGUCAUCAUGGCUGUUUCAUUUUCAUUUUUUUUUUCAUUUUUGAUCUCAUAACCUAUUUUGACAUUUUGUGAACACAAAAUCAUCUCCUCUCCUGUUAUGUGUCCCACCAAAAUUAUUUUUUCAACAAUUGAAUUGAUUUAUUUAAGCUAUUAUAAGAACUAUUAUGAAAUUAUUCUUUUUCAUAAUAUACACGUAAAUAAUUUAUGUUAUGCAAUAAAUUAAACGCAAACAAAGCUAGAAAAAUUAUUUUAAUCAAAAUUAAACCAAAAUAAUCUUUUAAAUAAAAAAAAAGAUUUUUUUAAGGACCCUUAUGAACAGUGCUUAUUUUGUUGGGAUUAUGAAGAUUUUUGUUAAGGAGCAAUACAAUAUUAUUUGUCAUAUUAAGGUUGUUUAAAAAUAACUCUAAAACUUAAUGGGCCUCAAAGAAAUUUUUUCAAGGCCUAGCCUGAGCCUGGCCCUCUCUUCAUAUUUUUUGCUAUAUCACACUGAUAGCGGUGAUAAAUAAAAUGCAUAAUGUUAUUGAGCGAUCGAGGCUCAUCUAAUCAUCUUACCCUAUUAGGAUUUUGAAAAAUUUAUAAAAAAAUUCUAAAAAAGUUAUUGACAAAUUGCAAGAUUGAAGGAAUCUGCAUGCAUUUAAACCAGCAAAUCUGAGGAAAUGGGGGCGGCUUAAAUUUGCCCUUCGAUUUGAUUACCCACAGAAUUUGGCUAAACAGAUGCAGGGGGGUUUAUGUGGACAACGUAUUGAUUGAUCAAAAUUCAAAAACGUGUAAAAGUGACAUGGGAUUUUGAAAAACAAGUUCUAGGAACUAGGAAGUCGUCAUCAUCUGAUUAAAGCCCCCAUUUUAUUUUAUUUUUUCAACAAGAUAACGAUUGAUGUAAUUAAUUAUUUAAUCAAUGCUUCUAAUUAAAAGGGGAGGGCUGUUGAUAGAAAGAUUCGUGACCUAAUUAUAUAUGCGGCAUUUCAUCAAAUUCGGCAAGCAAUUCGCCGAGUGUCACCAUCUGUAUUUGGUUUGAACAGUUUAGCCAAUUAUGGAACUACAUGACCUUUAUUUUGUUCUAGCAGCUUUGCCAGGACUGUGAUGUCUCAAGGAAAAAAAGAAAAGAAAAAUCUUUUCGCUUCAUGAUUAUUGUCUUUUAUAUGAUCGUUUAGUUCAGCCAAUAAAAGUAAAGAUAGAUCAUAGUCCCCAUGGUUCACAAACCACACAGCGAGAGAGAGACAGAGAGAAGUGGGGGUCACUCAUCGAAGAUUCAUGCAUGACAAUAUCCUAAAUUCAUAAUACAUGCGCCUCUUGAUUGAAAAAUUUGGGUCAAAUUGCCCAGCCGGAUCCUCCCAUAACGGCUUUCUUAUUGGAGGCCCAAAUACCCAUCUUUUUAUUUUGGUCUCAAAGCCCGUUCACAGAACCCAGCCCAUUAUAAGAUUAUUAAAGUAGCAGUAUUAUUCGAUCUAAUAGGGUGUGAUGGAGGAUGGAGCUGUGAGGAUAUGAUGGGUCAGUAAGUGGCCCGUCUUUCUCCUUCUUCUUCAAUCAUGCCGUACCACAUAAAGCCCAUAAGGAGUUUUUGUUACGGACAAGGCGAUGAACCAACGAGCAAGUUCUUUUCUCGUGUGGGAUCCUUUUUAUGCGGUUUUUUUUUUUUUUUUUUGAUUUACAAAAUCCAGAAAGGAAUUUUCUGUUUUCGAUUUGUGGUCUGUUAGUAGUAGAGAGUUGUUGAGUUGAACUGGUCACCUCUCUUUCUUAAGCUGAACGACGCAUUUUCGCAGUGUUCUUGUAGAAACUAGAAACUGCCGAGAUAUUGACAGCCGCGAAUGGCGACCGCUCCUUUUGAUUCUGGGCCUCAAAACAAGCAAGAAGCUGAAAAUUUAGUUACCCUUUUGAUCAAACACCUCCCUGAUGCUAUUCCUCAAGACACUCUUUCUCGAAUCUUCUCCCACUACGGUGCUUCUUCUGUCCGUCCUUGCUCCGCCGGAAGGUAUAUCACGUCACUAAAUUUCUCAUUUUAAUCAAAUUUGUUGAAGGGUCGUUUUGAUGAUGAACUAUAUGGUACAUUUUGCAUUCCAAAUUUUGAUUAUGUGCCUAUUCACUAGCUGGUGUUUGGGACAUAUGCUGUUUUAGAUUUCAUAUCCUGUUUCAGUUUUUAGGCACACAUUAGUAAAGUACAAUCAAAGGUUGAACCCCACUCACAAGGGUGGGUACGAGUUGUAUUACCAGUUACUUUAUGCUGAAACGUUAGCUGCCGUCUAAAAGUGAUUGAUAAUUUAAUUUUUGUAUGGUUUCAAAAUUUAAAUAGAAGUACAACUGUGACAAAUAUGUCCUAGGAUGAUUAUCUUUGAUUGCCUGAAUCUUAUAUGUGUGAAUUUCCACACCUUGAGUAAUCAAUUUUUGCCAAUUGAUGUGCCAUUGUUGGUUUUGUUGUUGCCAAGUGCAAUGUGAUAUUGAACUCUUUUUUGCAUUUUCUUGCCAUUGUCUUUAACUACUUGCAAACACAACUUUCCUUUGUAUUGUUUCAUGGAUAGCUGAGCCUUCUGUUUUAUUUUGCACUUGUAAUGCAUACUAUGAGUUCUUUCUUUUAUUUAUGCAGAUUAAGAAACUGUGUAUUUGUGGAUUUCGGAAAUGAACCAUUGGCUUCUCAAGCACAAAUGCAGUUAAAUGGGUAAAUUUCUAUCUUAUGCAUUGGUGGAAUAUUGGAACGAGAUAGGGUCAGGAAACUGUUAUGAGAUUUAUUUCUCUUUUCAUAUGUUUCUCUUGAAAGGGGUUUAUUUUCUUUACCCACUCUGUAUUUCUUCUUUUAUAAUUUUUAAUAUUUUUUUGAAGAUUCUUUUGAUUGUAACAAUUGUUAGGUAAUUUACUCAUUUUGUCCGAUUUAGCUGGACAAUUUUGCUAGUUUAGCUCUCUUGAAACCUAUGGAUAUUCCCUCCCUUUUCACCUACAACCUUGGCAUUGAUGUUAAUCCCAUGUCAAACAUAGGUAUUAAACUUUUUUCUUAUGGUUCUGGUUAGGCUGAGAUUUCUUGGUAAAGUCCUUUCAGUGGAAAGAGCUAGUAAGCCGAAUGAGGAAAAUAAACAUAAACAUUUUGAAGCUCAAUCCAUAUCUUCGAUGAAGGAGGCUGCUGUGACCAGAAAUCAGCGUGAAGGCUUGAACUCAGGAUCUGUACCUGCUGCUGAGCCAAUUGCUCCAAGACUUGGUGUAGACUAUCCAUUUCCUCCUCACCUUGAGUAUGCCUUUUCUUUCAUCUCCUUCAACUUUUCUCUUUCGAUGAAGCUUCUUGAUGUAUAUAUUACAAAGCUGUAUGGCAGCAGGCUCCUUUAUAUCCAUACUGUCAACCUCUUCCUUUAAUCCCAUUAAUUAAUGCCACCUGAAUUAAGUCUUCAAACUUAUGUGAUUGUGAGGGAAUGAAAUUUCUUCUUCUUCUUCUUCUUCUUCUUAAACACUCACGUGCGUGCAUCAUGCUACCCUUUACAAAGGAUUGUCCAAAAGAGUUGGUAUUUAACAUGCCAGUAUUCUGUAAUCUUACUUCAGUUAUAACCGGAAAGUGCUUUGGCCAUGUCUGCUUAGAUGAACUUGUUGAUUAAUUAAAGGAAAUCUCCAGUCUGAUUGAUUUGGAGACAAUCCAAAUAUGAUCCAAUUUAUUGGCCUGAAUUUUUAUUUCUGAUCUUCAAGAUUGCAAUUACAAAAUGGAUUCAGGGUUUAUUAGAUUGUAACUGCAUACUACAUCAUACGUUGAAUGAAAUAUACAGUACAUUGCCUGUGAUUCACUGUCAGAUAGUUCUUGUUUUGCUUGUCUCAUAUUUGAGAUUAUAACUUGGUUGUUUCAGUUAAAAUAUGAAUGAUUUUACAUGUGAACCUCUGGCAUUUAUGAUUUGAUGGAAUGUGUGAGAGAAGCCUGGCCUUUUAGAUUUCUUUCAUUAUAGAAUUUAAUAAUGGCUAUCUCAUUAUCCUUUGCCCUGUACAUUUUUAUCUUUGUCUGAUAUAGAUGAUAUCUCAUCUAGUUAAAUGAGCUGCCUGUGUCAGUCUCAUAUAUAUAUGCUUAUUCUCCAUCAGAUGGUAACCAUUAUUGUCUGUGUUCUGUUCUGCUUCUUCACUUUAUGCCUGGCUAUGGCACUAGUUUCAAGAACUCAUGUUCAUUGAGUUCCUUUUUUCACCCUUGAUUUUUUCCUUGUACAUAAUAGGGUGUUCAUACUAGAAUUUGGUUGUAUAGACCAAAAUGUGAAGUAUAUCUAUAAGUAGAACUUUAUUAAAUAUGACAUGAGGGAAUCGAUAGAGGUUCAGCCUUUCAGAUUCUUCUUUUGCGUAAAAUGCAAUAGCAGCUAUCUAAGAUCCUUGUGCAUAAAUGUGUGCUCGUUUACUAAAUGAAAGAAUUUUUUUUCUAUUUUCUUUAUUCUGUUGUUUAUUCGAAAUCAAUUCAUCACACAACAAAGAUAACAUUGUUUUAUUUUGUUCUGGUUAUCUGACCUGCCUGUGUUGCAGAUAUGCUUAUCCUCCGGUUGAUGGAAAUAUCCUAACCAAUAUUGUUAAUGCACUCAUUGCCGUUCCUCGCUUUUAUACCCAGGUUUCUCUUAAUCUUAAGAAAAAGGCUUCUAUUCUCUGGUUCUUGUUAUAAUUUGAUGGUGAAAAUCGUUCUCAUGCCCUUUCAUCAAAACUUUACUUACCCCUACUGUACUUACAAAACUCAUGCUAUGAAUUUAAGUUUUGAAAGUAGAGGCUAAGUGUAUUUUGAUAUAGUAAAGGGGAUUAUUGUAUUUGGUGAAUAUACUUUUAUUAUAUUCUGGUAAUAUUAUCUUACAACUUGACGCUUUGAUAUUAGGUGCUGCACUUGAUGAACAAAAUGAAUAUUCCAGCUCCAUUCCGUAUGGCUCUCCCCACCCCACCUCUACCACCUCCAGUACCUACAGCGUCAGCACCACAACCA